UGGGGAAUUUUGGACAAUGGGCGAAAGCCUGAUCCAGCAAUGCCGCGUGUGUGAAGAAGGCCUUCGGGUUGUAAAGCACUUUUGUCCGGAAAGAAAUCCUUGGCUCUAAUACAGUCGGGGGAUGACGGUACCGGAAGAAUAAGCACCGGCUAACUACGUGCCAGCAGCCGCGGUAAUACGUAGGGUGCAAGCGUUAAUCGGAAUUACUGGGCGUAAAGCGUGCGCAGGCGGUUUGCUAAGACCGAUGUGAAAUCCCCGGGCUCAACCUGGGAACUGCAUUGGUGACUGGCAGGCUAGAGUAUGGCAGAGGGGGGUAGAAUUCCACGUGUAGCAGUGAAAUGCGUAGAGAUGUGGAGGAAUACCGAUGGCGAAGGCAGCCCCCUGGGCCAAAUACUGACGCUCAUGCACGAAAAGCGUGGGGAGCAAAACAGGAUUAGAUACCCUGGUAGUCCACGCCCUAAAACGAUGUCAACUAGUUGUUGGGGAUUCAUUUCCUUAGUAACGUAGCUAAACGCGUGAAGUUGACCGCCUGGGGAGUACGGUCGCAAAGAUUAAAAACUCAAAGGAAUUGACGGGGUCAUAGCUGUUUCCU
rnacentral:rRNA from 1 species